UGGGAUGCAGAAAGUUGAAGAUGAUAUCAAUGAUAUCAUUUAAUGAUAUUAAUUAUCUUUAUGGUCACUUACCAUGGAUAAUCAAAAGGUGGUGGAUAUGCUGUUUUGGCAGAGUAGAGCUUCAAGGGAGAUAUUGUAGAGUAUGGAAUGAUAACAGAUUAUAGAAACAAAAUAUUUUCAUGCACUGUUUCAUGAACAAUUGAUGUUAAAAGCUGUGACUAUAUGGAGACAAUCUUCAGUAUAGCUUUGUGAUUUUUACCAGCUAUGCUCAUCAGUUAAGCAAUAUGACUAAGAGGGAAGAUUGGUCCAGAAGUGGAAUUUACCAGAUGUGUUGUGAUGGUUAAUUUUGUGUCAACUUAACUGGCCUGAGGGAUGCCCAGAUAGCUGGUAAAACAUUCUUUCUGCAUGUCUGUGAGAAUUUCCAGGAGAGAUUAGUGGAUUGGAGGCAGGAGAGGCACGUAUGGGUUUGGAGAGUGUUAAAUUAUUUUUUUAAGAUGAGAAAGCUUAAAUAUUUGAAAUGAUGAAAAGGAAUCAGAAACAAAUAAGAUUAUAGAGUGAGAUUAUUUGACUGAGUAGAAUGACCAAAGAGAUCUCCUCUCACUAGUGUGGGCAGGUAUUGUCUAGUCCACUGCGGGUCUGAAUGGAACAGAAAGAUGGAGAAAGAACAAAUUGUCUCCCUCUUACCCUUUUCUCUCUUCAUGAGCUGGAACAUCCAUCUUUUUCUGCUGUCAGACCAUGGAGAUCCUGGUUCUCGGGCCUUUGGACAUGGAGGGAAUUAUACCACUGGCUUUCUUGGUCUUCCAGCUUGAGAUGGCAGACUUUGGGACUUCUUGGCCUCUCGAAUGGAAUAACAGGUGGACAGAGUGAGAUGAGAAUACCAGCAUGAAGCAGUUGAAGAAAUAUGUCCUGGAGAAUGUUGGAUGAGAAGGAAGAGAAAAUAGCAGAUGAGACAGAAGACUAUGAAGGAACUGGAGGAACAGAUGUUAUUAAAGAACAGAUUUGGUGAGAGUAACUACAUGAGGACAAUCAAAACAGGUAAUUGUCAUCUGAGAAGGCAUAUUGAAAGUAAAAGGAUAGAGGACUAGGAAGAUGGCGG